CAGGAAACAGCUUGCUGUUUCGCUGACGAGUGGCGGACGGGUGAGUAAUGUCUGGGAAACUGCCUGAUGGAGGGGGAUAACUACUGGAAACGGUAGCUAAUACCGCAUAACGUCGCAAGACCAAAGAGGGGGACCUUCGGGCCUCUUACCAUCGGAUGUGCCCAGAUGGGAUUAGCUAGUAGGUGGGGUAACGGCUCACCUAGGCGACGAUCCCUAGCUGGUCUGAGAGGAUGACCAGCCACACUGGAACUGAGACACGGUCCAGACUCCUACGGGAGGCAGCAGUGGGGAAUAUUGCACAAUGGGCGCAAGCCUGAUGCAGCCAUGCCGCGUGUAUGAAG
rnacentral:rRNA from 1 species